rnacentral:rRNA from 1 species
CCUACGGGGGGCAGCAGUGAGGAAUAUUGGUCAAUGGACGGAAGUCUGAACCAGCCAUGCCGCGUGAGUGAAGAAGUAUUUCGGUAUGUAAAGCUCUAUCAGCCGGGAAGAAAGAAAUGACGGUACCUGACUAAGAAGCCCCGGCUAACUACGUGCCAGCAGCCGCGGUAAUACGUAGGGGGCAAUCGUUAUCCGGAUUUACUGGGUGUAAAGGGAGCGUAGACGGCGAUGCAAGUCUGAAGUGAAAGGCGGGGGCCCAACCCCCGGACUGCUGUGGAAACUGUAUGGCUUGAGUGCAGGAGAGGUAAGUGGAAUGCCUAGUGUAGCGGUGAAAUGCGUAGAUAUUAGGAGGAACACCAGUGGCGAAGGCGGCUUACUGGACUGUAACUGACGUUGAGGCUCGAAAGCGUGGGGAGCAAACAGGAUUAGAUACCCCUGUAGUC